rnacentral:rRNA from 1 species
AGGGCUACACACGUGCUACAAUGGACGGUACAGAGGGUAGCGAUAUCGCGAGAUGGAGCCAAUCCCAAAAAGCCGUUCCCAGUUCGGAUUGGAGUCUGCAACUCGACUCCAUGAAGUUGGAAUCGCUAGUAAUCGCGGAUCAGCAUGCCGCGGUGAAUACGUUCCCGGGCCUU